rnacentral:sRNA from 1 species
AUCAGGAUCUUCAUGACCAGCCAAAGAGAAGAAGAAUUAGGAAGCAUAAAUCAAAGAAAAAAUUUAAAAAUCCCAAUAGUGUUCUUAUAGAACAAGCAGAAUUAGAGAAACAGCAGAGUCUGUUACAGGAGAAAUCUCAGCAACAGCACACAGAUGGCACCACAAUAAGCAAAAAUAAAAAAAGGAAACUGAAAAAGAAACAGC